rnacentral:misc_RNA from 1 species
UACGGAGGGUGCAAGCGUUAAUCGGAUUUAUUGGGCGUAAAGGGGGCGCAGGCGGGAAAGCAAGUCAGACGUGAAAUUCCGAGGCUCAACCUCGGAGCUGCAUUUGAAACUACUUUUCUUGAGGAUAGGCGGAGAAAACGGAAUUCCACAAGUAGCGGUGAAAUGCGUAGAUAUGUGGAAGAACACCCGUGGCGAAAGCGGUUUUCUAGCUUAUUCCUGACGCUGAGGCCCGAAAGCUAGGGGAGCAAACAGG